GGAGGCGGACGGCGUUCGCGAUCGCUUCUCCUUCCUCGCCCGUUCCAGCAGGGAAGGAGAGAGUUGCUGGGACUGACGGGCAUCGCACCGUGGCUGCCCCUCCUCCUCUCCAUGGGAGCGCUGUGGCAGGCGCUCGCACGGAGAUGACGGAGAUCGGUGCGGGCGUCGGUGGCUGCUCUUGGAGGGCAUCGGACGUGCCGCCGGUUGUUGCUGGAGACUCUUGACCGCGUCCGUCAGCACAGUCAUCUGCCGUACGAUUGCCGCGAUCUGCACCUCCGUGGUCACCGCGGGGUGCGGAGAGCUGGGUUCCACCGCGAAGGGUGG
rnacentral:lncRNA from 1 species